rnacentral:rRNA from 1 species
AUGAACGCUGGCGGCGUGCCUAAUACAUGCAAGUCGAGCGAACAGACGAGGAGCUUGCUCCUCUGACGUUAGCGGCGGACGGGUGAGUAACACGUGGAUAACCUACCUAUAAGACUGGGAUAACUUCGGGAAACCGGAGCUAAUACCGGAUAUUAUAUUGAACCGCAUGGUUCAAUAGUGAAAGACGGUUUUGCUGUCACUUAUAGAUGGAUCCGCGCCGCAUUAGCUAGUUGGUAAGGUAACGGCUUACCAAGGCGACGAUGCGUAGCCGACCUGAGAGGGUGAUCGGCCACACUGGAACUGAGACACGGUCCAGACUCCUACGGGAGGCAGCAGUAGGGAAUCUUCCGCAAUGGGCGAAAGCCUGACGGAGCAACGCCGCGUGAGUGAUGAAGGUCUUCGGAUCGUAAAACUCUGUUAUUAGGGAAGAACAAAUGUGUAAGUAACUAUGCACGUCUUGACGGUACCUAAUCAGAAAGCCACGGCUAACUACGUG